GACGAACGCUGGCGGCGUGCUUAACACAUGCAAGUCGAGCGGUAAGGCCCUUUCGGGGGUACACGAGCGGCGAACGGGUGAGUAACACGUGGGUGACCUGCCCUUAGCUCUGGGAUAAGCCUGGGAAACUGGGUCUAAUACCGGAUAUGACUCCAUGACGCAUGUUGUGGGGUGGAAAGCCUUGUGCGGCUAGGGAUGGGCCCGCGGCCUAUCAGCUUGUUGGUGGGGUGANGGCCUACCAAGGCGACGACGGGUAGCCGGCCUGAGAGGGCGACCGGCCACACUGGGACUGAGACACGGCCCAGACUCCUACGGGAGGCAGCAGUGGGGAAUCUUGCGCAAUGGGCGAAAGCCCUGACGCAGCGACGCCGCGUGAGGGAUGACGGCCUCGGUU
rnacentral:rRNA from 1 species